UAGCAGCUUUAAAAGUACCUGGGUUGU
rnacentral:piRNA from 1 species